UAGGGAAUAUUGGACAAUGGGGGCAACCCUGAUCCAGCCAUGCCGCGUGAGUGAAGAAGGCCUUCGGGUUGUAAAGCUCUUUUAGAUGUGAAGAUGAUGACGGUAGCAUCAGAAAAAGCUCCGGCUAACUUCGUGCCAGCAGCCGCGGUAAUACGAAGGGAGCGAGCGUUGUUCGGAAUCACUGGGCUUAAAGCGUAUGUAGGCGGUCACGCAAGUCAGGAGUGAAAUCCCAGGGCUUAACCCUGGAAUGCCUUUUGAAACUGCAUGACUCGAGUCCCGGAGAGGUUGAUGGAAUAUCCAGUGUAGAGGUGAAAUUCGCAGAUAUUGGAUGGAACACCAGUGGCGAAAGCGAUCAACUGGACGGGUACUGACGCUGAGAUACGAAAGCGUGGGGAGCAAACAGG
rnacentral:rRNA from 1 species